rnacentral:lncRNA from 1 species
AACAUGCUUUAUUGCCUGCUUUUUAGUUUUUGCAUCUUUAACAUACUUCUCCACUUAUAUUCAAGCAUAUGUUUGUUUUUUCUUUAGAAAAAAAAGAAAACUGCACACAGUUCAGAUUGUGUCUGUGAAAGUGUAAUUCUGCAUGAGCAGGGAACAGCCACAGGCCAAGUCAGCAACUUUCAACACAGCUGGCAUCAGGGAUUCCACAGACUAUGGUCCUUUUGUUACCAGAGCUGAAGGACGUCAAAUAUUUCGCUCAUUUGACUAGCACAUGUUAUUUUACCCUACUUGGAUUUUAUGCAGUCUAAGCCUUUAGUCUGAAACAGAGAGGAAGUUUUUAAAAUUUGUAAUUUUAUAUUUCCAAAUGUGACUGAAGGAUCAAACAUUAAUCCACCACAAUAAGCAAACUGAAAUGAUUGCUCUGACAACAUGUUCGUGUUCUAAAAUUUUCAUCAUGAGGUUUGUAGUAAGUUGUAUCUUUUUUAAUCAGCCAUUUUUAUCAGACUUUCUUCAACAGAAAACAUAGAGGAGAUGGAAAAGCCACACAAGAAUAUGUUUAAAAGAUCAGAUAUAAAAGGUUUGGCAGCAGAUCUUAAAGGGAAAACCUUUAAUUGAGCAAUGCUGAUUGCAAAUGAAAACAAAAGUUGAAAGAAAAAUGUCACUAUACACUGUCAAAUGUUACUUCAUCAAUAGAGAGCUGCUGAAAUGUCAAACCUGGAGCUGUGCUCAGACACCUCAAUGCCCCACGGCAGCAGGUGCUUGCAAAGGAAGAAGCUCCUGCUUCUUUCUCCCUUUGUGUUUUCAGGUGGAAAACCCAACUUAAAAUCACUUCCUUUCUAACACACUCAGUGUCAAUUAGUGUUUGGAGCAAAUAAUACCAUAAACACAAAGAUCAUUCCUUAUGUUCCUGAGAACAACACAGUCUCCACACGUAGUUACUUGGCACAAGAAGUCACAAUCAUAAAUCACACUUUUAUUACGCAUGGUUUUCCCUUUAUCUUCAGUUAUGCUGCACCCCCAUCCAGGGUUCUUUGGGAGACUCACAUUCCAAGCUUUUCUUCUGCAUAAUACAAUUCUCAAGCUUUCUGCUAGUCAUUCUUGGGCCAAGUCCAGCUGUCUUGCUCAGUAUCCAGCAUCUCUCCAAGAGGAACAUACAAACUUCAGACCCCAACUGUGGGCAAAAGUCACAAAACAGGGCACGGGUGUGCAUGAACAUCCACUCAGAAACCUUCUGGGACUGCUGCCAGUAAAGAAAUAAUCAUGAGAACAGGUUUAUUCAGCAAGAGAAAUGGUACCAGUUGUAC